AUACGGAGGAUGCGAGCGUUAUCCGGAUUUAUUGGGUUUAAAGGGUGCGUAGGUGGUAGAUUAAGUCAGCGGUGAAAGUUUGUCGCUCAACGAUAAAAUUGCCGUUGAUACUGGUUUACUUGAGUAUAGUUGACGUAGGCGGAAUGCGUGGUGUAGCGGCGCAAUGCAUAGAUAUCACGCAGAACUCCGAUUGCGAAGGCAGCUUACUAAGUUAUAACUGACACUGAAGCACGAAAGCGUGGGUAUCAAACAGGAUUAGAUACCCUGGUAGUCCACGCAGUAAACGAUGAUUACUAGCUGUUUGCGAUAUACAGUAAGUGGUACAGCGAAAGCGUUAAGUAAUCCACCUGGGGAGUACGCCGGCAACGGUGAAACUCAAAGGAAUUGACGGGG
rnacentral:rRNA from 1 species